GAAGGCCCAGCCGGGUUCACACACCCCGCGGCGCCCCGGCCUUAAAGGGCCGAGCGGCGGGCCCCGCGCGGGCCUGGAGCCGGGCACCCGCUCGGGAGGACGAGCGCCGCCGCCAGCCCGCCAGCCCGCCAGCCCGCCAGCCCGCACCCGGCCCCUGGCGGCGCGCUCCGCCUGGCACCGGGGGGCGCGGAGGCGCACCAUGCCCGCCGACACCUCGGGGAGGCCGCGGGCAGGCGCGCUGGCCAGCGCCAGCCGAACGCCGAGCAGGCCCCGGAGCGCGGGCGAGCACCGCAAGGUGGGGACCUGGUCGGGCGACGGUCGGGAGGCUCGGGGCGGGACGAACGCGCGCGGGACUCAGCCACCGCCCGGCCCGCAGUCCUCCAAGCCCGCCAUGGAGAAGCGGCGCCGAGCGCGCAUCAACGAGAGCCUCGCCCAGCUGAAGACCCUCAUCCUAGACGCCCUCCGGAAGGACAGCCCCCGCCACUCGAAGCUGGAGAAGGCGGACAUCCUGGAGAUGACCGUGAGGCAUCUGCGGAGCUUGCGGCGCGUGCGGGUGGCAGCCGCGCUCGGCGCCGACCCCGCCGUCCUAGGCAAGUACCGCGCUGGCUUCCACGAGUGUCUGGCGGAGGUGCGCCGCUUCCUGGCGGGCUGCGAGGGCGUCCCGGCCGACGUGCGCUCUCGCCUGCUCGGCCACCUGGCGGCUUGCCUGGGCCAGCUGCGGCCCUUGCGCCGCCCCGCCCCACCGUUGCCCAGUGCGGAGGCUCCGGCGCCUGAGGUCUACUCCGGCCGCCCGCCGCCGGCUGCGUUCGACGGCCCCUUGGCCCUGCUGCGCCCUGGUGCCAACAUGGCGCUGCCCUUCUUGCCAGGCCUGACCGGGGCGUCCCCCGCUGCCCCCAGGCCGGGGCCGCAGGGCCAGGGCGCGCCCUGGAGGCCGUGGCUGCGGUGACGCCGCGGUGCUGGACAUGUAGCGGCGGCCGUGCCCCGUUGUAGGGCCGCGGCCUUUGCGGAGACUGUACCAGAGAAUAUUUAUUUCCAGAGGCCGCGUAAAGUUUUGCUUUACUUUGUCUUUGUCAAGAGGAUCUUUUUGGUAGCGCUCACGGCUGGCUGUCCGAGGUUGGGGGUGGGCUGCUCACCACAGGCUGGACUCCUGGCGGGUUGGCCGUGGGGGCUUUGGAGAGCGCUUCCCCAGACUCUGCCUCCGCUGUCCCUGCCGGCCCCUCACCGUUUUCCUGCAUCUGUUCUGGAGCCAGCCGCCUGCCUGUAUUUGGGGGAGGGGGGCGGGGGGGUUCCCUUAAGAGGCUCCUGCAGGAAGGUGACAUUCACCAGCUUUUCCAAAAUGUAUUCCAGUGUUGGGCAGCUGCUGUGCAGCCAUCACUGAGCUCGUACUUUCUUUAAGAGACCUGUCCCACUCUGACAGACCCUGGGAGGUGGAGACCCAAGUGUCACGCUGUUGUCGCCAUCCCCACCCACGCUGAUGGAGCUGUGAUGAGGGGUGACCGCACCCUGAGGCUUCAGUUCUGGCCUGGCCUGCCCCGUGCGUUGUUCUCAUGGCUCAGCUGCCUGUGCCCACCCAUGGACUGAGCCGGCCCCAGGCCAGUGUCUGCCCAGGAGAGGGGUGCCUGCAGAAGAGGGCGCCUGAGAACCUGGAGUGGGGAACUGGGGCACGGCUGGCAAGAGGCAUUGAGUGCUGGGGCUCCGGGGUGCCCGUCCAGCUAGGUCCGCUCUGCCGUGUGCCCUGCACUGUCCUGGGAGGAGAGGUCUCUGCCUAGCCGGAGGGGCCUGGGGGUUCAUCUUGCCGGGCAUCUUUCCCAGGCACCUGCUGUGUGCUCGCCCUUCAGUCCUAGGCAGUGCGUAGGCUGCGCUGGACAUCACGCCUGAGUCAGGGUCACUGUCCUGCAGUCCCGGGCCCCCCACGCUGCUGGGGCUCCAUUCCAGGUGCAGUGGGGGGGGUGGUCUGAGUCACCUGCAGAGAGCCGAGCACCCCAUCCUAGUCAAGAUCCAUUUUUCAACCGCAGCCGAGUUCGUCAGAUGCCAUCUGCUGCCUGCCUGGCCAGGGCCCUUCAAAGAGGAAGAGGGAGUCCCUGACAGAAGUUCCUCGUCUGCCUCCUUCUCUGGGCCUGGGCAGGGUUUCCCUGGGCCCUCCUGGUCUCAGCCACGCUUACCUGGCAGGGACCUCCAAGUCCCCCCAACACCAGUCAUCUCCGUACCCCCACCCCCCACUUACUGCUUUCUGCUUUCUGGCUGCCUUUCCCAUCUCCUGGAGCAUCCAGGGCCUGGGGCACCAGUAGGACUGGACGAUGAGGGGGGCCCCCUUGGGCAGCAGAGUUACAGAGGGUCUUGUUGCAGCUGGAAGUUCAGCUAGGUCUGGGGAGCUGCUCCAGGGACAUCGGUGCAAAAGAGGAGGGGGUUGGGAUGUGAAGCUGGGUGGGUGAGCAGGGGCGUGGUCAGGGCCUGCUGGGAGCUGGGCCCCCACAGGAUGUGGGGAAGGGACUUGACCGCCUGCGUGUGGCCAGGGGGCCUGGGGGGGACAGCUGUCUGGGGAAAUCACCUGGCACUCAGGUCACCACACUUCCCCCUCCCACGAGAGGGCAGGACAAUCCCAGGCCACACUCCCGGCCUCCUGGCCCCUCCCUGCCCUCCUGCCCCCGCCCUUUACUUCCUGUGAUCUCUUCUCAGCACUGUUGCUACAGGGACCUUUCAAGCAAGGACUUACCAGGACCCUCAGCCUCUGUGGGGGACCACGUGCUGUUCCCCAGGCAGGCUCCCUCCUGUCUGGUCCCUUGUACUCAGUGUCUCCAGUGGAAUUCUCUCCCCACUUUCCCACCUGAGGCAGCCACCUCAGGCUUUUUGGGCUUCAGAGGCCAGGGCCACGUCUGUGCCACCCCACUCUGUCCCCAGCACCCGUUUGUAACAGCUCAAUCCACACUGACCUAAUCAAUCGAUCUGAAUGAAAGACACAGCAGUGGGGGUGUGGGGAAGGGUAUCACCCUGGGUCAGAGGGCCUGAGGAAGCACAUCUAGGCUGAGGCUGAGCCCGGUGGCCCAGGGCUGCAGACUCCAGGCUGCCCCUUCUCAGCGGUGAGGGCAUCUGGGUCUCAGGAAUACCAUCCUUGCCUCCAGCUGUGGAAGGGACCACCCCAUCCCCAUGCCCAGCCUGGACGCCUGCCUAGUCCAGGGGACCCUCUCAAUGCUCUUCCAUAGGCCCCAAGGUAGGAUUUGUAGCCCAAAGUGUGGGGUGCUCCCCCCUCACACCAGGGGUCUCAUCCUCCUUCCCGCUCUCCCCACUCUUCCACCCAUUUCUUGCCCCCCCCCAGAUAGCCUCUGAGUUAUUCUCCUGUCCCCCCGCCCAGUCCCCAGGCUGGGCUAUUUUUAUCUUGGCUUUUGUCUUGCAGACACUUCCUGCUGAAUAAUAGAUGGAACACCUUCUCCUGCAAGGCUCUGCGAAGGGUAGGGUGUGAUGAGGACUUCCUGGGGGAAGGGGUGGCUGGAAGGCGUGCUGCCCACCGCCCCCACCAGGGGUGGGGAGUCUUCUAAUACCCAGUUCGUGGUGAGGACAGUGCCAGUGAAGGUUUGCUGAAUUAAUGUACAUGGUCAGCUGAUCUGCCUGCUUCUGGGGGUGUUGCAACCCUGUGCUUAUGGGUCUGUCUGUCUGUCUGCCAGUGGGGCCAGGAUUGGGACCACAUAAUGACAGCAAAUCAGAGGUGUUUGAAAUCUGGAGAAAGAAUUGGCCCUGUGGUGACAGAAGUGAGCCUGGCCAGGCCCUUGUAACUCCAGUCACUUUGAAGUCCAGGGUGGGGUUGGGCCUGGGGCUGCUUGGCACCCUGGCUUGUCAGGGUGAGGCCUUAGCAACCCCACAAAAGUUCCUGUGGGGGCCCGAUUAUCUCCAGGCCUCAGAAGGAAAUGGGCUGUGGGUUGACAGCCUCCCAGCAGGCCCCCAAGAGCCUCCUCCUGGUAUUCAGUCUUGUGGUGGGGCAGGGUUGGCCUGGGUGAGCGACAGGACCCGGCAGAGCUGAUGGAGUGGCUCUGCUAGGCUCCCUGCCGCCCCCUCACUCCGGGGGAGGCCAGCUGCCCUUUGCUGCGGACCUGAUACCCCCACCAACAGCAAUGAGGGUGAGUUCAGAAGCGGACCCUCCAGUCCCUGAGCCCUCAGACAGUCUCCCAGCUGCCGCCAACAUCUUGAUAGCCGCUUGAUGAGACCUGAAUCAGACCCCCCACUGAGCAGCUCCUGUAUUCCUGCCCCUCAGAAACUGGUGCAGGCCCCGGCCAAGGUUUUUCCUCUACGUGGAGCAGGAGGACACUGGCUCUGAAUGAAAUGCCAAGGUGGGACAGGACAUCAGCUGGUGGCGUGCACGUGCAAUUUCCUUGUUCAAUUCAGUUCUAGGAAAAGAGAAAGCUCCAUGAAUGCUUCCUUGGGAAUGCGGUCUGCUGGAUCGAGAGGUGAGGGUGACAUCCCAGGAGCUGAGCCGACCAGUCUGCCCACUUAGAGUUGGCGAUCUUUGGUCAGACUUUUCCUGGGAAUACUUGGAGGAGUACAAAAAUAUCCAGCACCCAACGUGUUAAAAUUUACAAUGUCUCGCAUCCAGUAAAUAGUCACCAGGCAUACAAAGAAACGGGAAAAUAUCCAUAAUGAGGAGAAAAAUCAGUCAAUUGAAAGCAACUCAGAAAUGUCACAGAUGAUAGAAUUAGUUAACAAGGACAUAAAAACAGUUACUAUAGCUGCACUUCAUAUGUUCAAGAAGCUGGGGGAAGGAUUGAAUGUGUUAGAAAUAUUGAUGGUAUGAAAAAACCCAAUGAACUUCUAGAGCUGAAAUUACAAUGUCUGAUGUGAGAAAUGCAUUGGAGGGAAGUAAUGGCAGGUCAGACACACGGAAAAUGCUGGUGAACAGCAACCAUAUAAUUAAAAACUAUUCAAAAUAAAACAGAUAUUGAAAAACUGGAGGAAAAAAGAUAAAGGAGCAUUAGUGAACUGUAGGAGAACUUCGAGUGGCCUAAUAUGCAUGUAACUGGAAUCCCAGAAGGAGAGGAAGAAAUAAAAAACAAGAAAAAAUUGAAGAAAUAAUGGCUGGAAUUUUUCCAGUCUUGACGCAAACUAUAAACCCACAUAUCCAAGAACCUCAGCGACAUUCAAGCAUGAAGAAAACCCCAUCAAGGAGCAUCAUGAUCAAACUGCGGCAGCGCAGGAAGUUAGCCAGGCCAGUCAGGCAGGAAAAUGCAAGAAGAGGCGCCCAGCUUGCAAAGGAAGAAGUGGCACGAUCUAUGUCCGAACGACAUGACCUCACGUACGGAGAAUCCUGAGAAGCCAACCAGAAGCUAUUAGGAAGGAUAAAAGAGUUCAGCAAGGUUAUAAGGUACUAGAUCAGUAUUUCAGAAAUCAAUUGUAUUUCUGUGGACUGAAAAACUGAAAAUGAAAUAAAUCUAUUCCAUUUAGAAUAACAUCAAAAAGAAUAAAAUAGUUAGGAAUAAAGUUAACAAAAGAAAUGCAAAAUGUAUACUUUGAAAACCUAUACAAUAUUGUUGAAAGAAAAAAAUUUUUUAUUAAGGUAUCACUCUUACAAAGGUUUCACAAGAAAAACAAUGUUAUUAUAUUCACCCUUAUUAUCGAGUCCCCCACACACCCCAUUGCAGUCACUGUCUAUCAGUGUAGUAAGAUGCCUCAGAGUCCCUAUUUGUCUUCUCUGAGCUACACUGUCUUCCCCGUGACCCCCACACACCAUGUGCACCAAUCAUGAUACCCCUCAAUCCCCUUCUCCCUCCCUCCCCAUCUGCCCUCCCCAACCCCUCCCCUUUGGUAACCACUAGUCCCUUCUUGGAGUCUGUGAGUCUGCUGCUGUUUUGUUCCUUCAGUUUUGCUUUGUUGUUAUACUCCACAAAUGAGGGAAAUCAUUCGGUAUUUGUCUUUCUCUGCCUAACUUAUUUCAUUGAGCAUAAUACCCUCUAGCUCCAUCCAUGUUGCUGCAAAUGGUAGGAUUUGUUUCUUUCUUAUGGCUGAGUAGUAUUCCAUUGUGUAUAUGUACCACAUCUUCUUUAUCCAUUCAUCUACUGAUGGACACUUAGGUUGCUUCCAUUUCUUGGCUACUGUAAAUAGUGCUGCGAUAAACAUAGGGAUGCAUCUGUCUUUUUCAAACUGGGCUGCUGCAUUCUUAGGGUAAAUUCCUAGGAGUGGAAUUCCUGGGUCAAAUGGAAUUUCUAUUUUUAGUUUGUGUGGAACCUCCAUACUGCUUUCCACAAUGGUUGGACUAAUUUACAUUCCCACCAGCAGUGUAGGAGGGUUCCCCUUUCUCAGCAUCCUCGCCAGCAUUUGUUGUUGUUUGUCUUUUGGAUGUUGGCCAUCCUAACUGGUGUGAGGUGGUAUCUCAUUGUGGUUUUAAUUUGCAUUUCUCUGAUGACUACCGAUGUGGAGCAUCUUUUCAUGUGCCUGUUGGCCAUCUGAAUUUCUUCUUUGGAGAACUGUCUGUUCAGCUCCUCUGCCCAUUUUUUAAUUGGAUUAUUUGCUUUUUGUUUGUUGAGGUGCAUGAGCUCUUUAUAUAUUUUGGAUGUCAACCCUCUAUUGGAUCUGUCAUUUAAGAAUAUAUUCUCCCAUACUGUAGGAUGUCUUUUUGUUCUAUUGAUGGUGUCCUUUGCUGUACAGACGCUUUUUAGUUUGAUACAGUCCCACUUGUUCAUUUUUGCUUUUGUUUCCCUUGCCCGGGGAGAUAUGUUCAUGAAGAAGCUGCUCAUGUUUAUGUCCAAGAGAUUUUUGCUUAUGUUUUUUUCCAAGAGUUUUAUGGUUUCAUGACUUACAUUCAGGUAUUUGAUACAUUUCGAGUUUACUUUUGUGUAUGGGGUUAGACAAUAAUCCAAUCUCAUUCUCUUACAUGUAGCUGUCUGGUUUUGCCAACACCAUCUGUUGAAGAGGCUGUCAUUUCCCCAUUGUAUGUCCAUGGCUCCUUUAUCGUAUAUUAAUUGACCAUAUAUGUUUGGGUGAAUAUCUGGGCUCUCUAUUCUGUUCCACUGGUCUGAGGGUCUGUUCUUGUGCCAGUACCAAAUUGUCUUGGUUACUGUGGCUUUGUAGUAGAGCUUGAAGUCGGGGAGCAUAAUCCACCUAGCUUUAUUCUUGCUUCUCAGGAUUUCUUUGGCUAUUAAGGGUCUUUUUUGGUUCCAUAUGAAUUUUAGAAGUAUUUGUUUCAGUUCAUUGAAGAAUGCUGUUGGUAUUUUGAUAGGGAUUGCAUUGAAUCUGUAGAUUGCUUUAGUCAGGAUGGCCAUUUCAACAAUACUAAUUCUUCCUACCCAAGAGCAUGGAAUGAAUUUUCAUUUGUUAGUGUCCUCUUUAAUUUCUCUUAGGAGUGUCUUGUAGUUUUCCGGGUAUAGGUCUUUCACUUCCUUGGUUAGGUUUAUUACUAGGUAUUUUCUUCUUUUUGAUGCAAGUGUGAAUGGAAUUGUUUUCCUGAUUUCUCUUUCUGCUAGUUCAUCAUUAGUGUAUAGGAAUGCAACCGAUUUCUGUGUAUUUUGUAUCCUGCAACUUUGUUGAAUUCAGAUAUUAGUUCUAGUAGUUUUGGAGUGGAUUCUUUAGGGUUUUUUAUGUACAGUAUCAUGUCAUCUGCAAACAGUGACAGUUUGACUCCUUCCUUACCAAUCUGAAUGCCUUUUAUUUCUUUGUUUUGUCUAAUUGCUGUGGCUAGGACCUCCAGGACUAUGUUGAAUAAAAGCAGGGAGAGUGGGCAACCUUGUCUUGCUCCCGAUCAUAGGGGAAAAGGUUUCAGCUUCUUGCUGUUAAGUAUAAUGUUGGCUGUGGGUUUAUGAUAUAUGGCCUUUAUUAUGUUGAGGUACUUGCCCUCUAUACCCAUUUUGUUGAGAGUUUUUAUCAUGAAUGGAUGUUGAAUUUUGUCAAAUGCUUUUUCAGCAUCUAUGGAGAUGAUCAUGUGGUUUUUGUCUUUCUUUUUGUUGAUGUGGUGGAUGAUGUUGAUGGAUUUUCGAAUGUUGUACCAUCCUUGCAUCCUGGGAUGAAUACCACUUGGUCAUGAUGUAUGAUCCUCUUGAUGUAUUUUUGAAUUUGGUUUGCUAAUAUUUUGUUGAGUAUUUUUGCAUCUAUGUUCAUCAGGGACUUUGGUCUGUAAUUUUCUUUUUUUGGUGGGGUCUUUGCCUGGUUUUGGUAUUAGAGUGAUGCUGGCUUCAUAGAAUGAGUUUGGAAGUAUUCCCUCCUCUUCUACAUUUUGGAAAACUUUAAGGAGAAUGGGUAUUAUGUCUUCACUAAAUGUUUGAUAAAAUUCAGCAGUUAAUUCAUCUGGUAUGGUAGUUUUGUUCUUGGGUAGUUUUUUGAUUACUGAUUCGAUUUCAUUGCUGGCAAUUGGUCUGUUUAGAUUUUCUGUUUCUUUCUAAGUCAGCCUUGGAAGAUUGUGUUUUUCUAGAGAGUUGUCCAUUUCUUCUAGGUUAUCCAGUUUGUUGGCAUAUAGAUGCAUAUGUCUUUUUGAAUCUGAGAAGUUGUUUUCUUUGGGUAAAUUCCUAGUAGUGGAAUUCCCGAGUCAAAUGGGAUUUCUAUUUUUAGUUUUUUGAGGAACCUCCAUAUUGCUUUCCACAAUGGUUGAACUAGUUUACAUUCCCACCCGCAGCUUAGGAGGGUUCCCCUUUCUCCUCAUCCCCACCAGCAUUUGUUGUUCCUAGUCUUUUCUAUGUUGGCCAUCCUAACUGGUGUGAGGUGAUAUCUUACUGUGGUUUUAAUUUGCGUUUCCCUGAUAAUUAGCGAUGUGGAGCAUCUUUUCAUGUGCCUGUUGGCCAUCUGAAUUUCGUCUUUGGAGAAGGGUCUCUUCAUAUCCUCCACCCAUCCAUUUUUUAAUUGGGUUAUUUGCUUUUUGGGUGUUGAGGCAUGUGAGUUCUUUAUAUAUUUUGGAUGUUAACCCCUUAUCGGAUCUGUCAUUUACAAAUAUAUUCUCCCAUACUGUAGGAUGCCUUUUUGUUUUGCUGAUGGUGUUCUUUGCUGUACUGAAGCUUUUUAGUUUGAUGCAGUCCCAUUUGUUCAUUUUUGCUUUUGUUUCCCUUGCCCAAGGAGAUAUGUUCAGGAAAAAGUUGCUCAUGUUUAUAUUCAAGAGAUUUUUGCCUAUGUUUUCUUCUAAGAGUUUUAUGGUUUCACAACUUACAUCCAUUUUGAGUUUACUUUUGUGUAUGGGGUUAGACAAUAAUCCAGUUUCAUUCUUUUGCAUGUAGCUGUCCGGUUUUGUCAACACCAGUUGUUGAAGAGGCUGUCAUUUCCUCAUUGUAUAUCCGUGGCUCCUUUAUCGUAUAUUAAUUGACCAUAUAUGCUUGGGUUUAUGGCUGGGCUUUCUAGUCUGUUCUAUUGGUGAAAGAAAUUUUAAAAGAUCUAAAUAAAUGAAAAUAAAUUCCAUGUUCAUGGAUAAGAAGAUUUAGCUUUGUCAAUAUGACUGUACUUCCCAAAUUUAUCUAUAAGUUUAACUGAAGUUCUAGCUAACAUUUUUGCAGAAGUUGACAAGCUGCUCCUAAAAUUCAUAUGGAAAUUCAAGGGACUGAUAAUAUCUAAAACAAUCUUGAAAAAGAAGGGCAAAUUUGGAGCACUCAAACUUCCUGAUUUCUAAACUUACCACAAAGCUACAAUAGUUGAGACAGUGGUACUAACAUGAGGACAGACAUAUCGAUUGAUGGGACAGAAUUGAGGGUUCAGAAAUAAGCCUUCACAUUUAGAAUAAAUCUUCAUAAACUUUGGUAUGGAGGACCUUAGGCAAAGCCUUCUCAGAUACAACAAAAACAAAAGUUUUUGCAAGUGACAAAAGAAAAAAAAGAUAAAUAGGAUUUCAUGAAAGUUAAAAAUGUUUGUGCUUCAAAUGACAUUAUCAAAAAACUGAGAAGACACACAGAAUAGGAAAUAAUAUUUGCAAAACAUGUAUUGACAGGGACUUGUAUUUAGAAUAUAUGAAUAACUGUUGACUAUAACAAUAAUAAAAGACAAUCUG